rnacentral:lncRNA from 1 species
UACACCUAAGUAAGAAAUUCAUUCUUUCUCACAUGCUGAAACCCUAGUCUACCAAAAUUAAUAUCUCGACUUUUACACUCGAAAAUUGUUUGGACCUCUAGCUAGUUGCAUUUCUUCUUGGUCUUUUGGCUCUAAUGUGAACCAAAUAUCUAUUUCAAUUUCCCCGUUAACACAUCGACAAAGUUAUGUGAAUAAAGGACAAUGGCAUAAUUUUGAAAACAUGAAACAUCAAUGUCAGGCUAUUUCAAGUAAGGUUUUUUUUUUU